GCCCUCGAGCUUCUAGGUGCCUUUCUCUCGCCACUCCAAGGUGAAAGAACUGGGCUUUUCUCUCCUUUGCUCCGACUAUUUCAGGGAAACUGCAGUCGUCGACGCCUGCGUUGGCAUCGCAAAAGCCCAGGAGGGAUAGCGCAGCCGAGAUUCUCCGACAGCUCCCCACCUCUCCCGGCUCUCUGAUCUACCACGUCAGUGGUCUCCUCCAGGCAGUGCAAAGGCAGUAUCUCUCUGAAUCCCGGGACGUCUCAGCCAAAGCAGGGAAGACACCCCAAGUACGCUGGAAGGCUGGGUAAGGCGCGAAGGGCAGCCCCAUUCCAGUCUUCAAAGAGAGCUAGCUGUUCACCGCUCCUCUCCUCCAGAUUUCACCGUGCCUGAAGAACUACCAUGCUUUUCAUGUAAUAUUUUUAAAAACAUUAAAUACUUUGGAUUAAGAGAU
rnacentral:lncRNA from 1 species